rnacentral:rRNA from 1 species
CCGGCUACCAUGCAGUCGAGCGCCCCGCAGGGGGAGCGGCAGACGGGUGAGUAACGCGUGGGAAUCUACCCAUCACUACGGAACAACUCCGGGAAACUGGAGCUAAUACCGUAUACGUCCUUCGGGAGAAAGAUUUAUCGGUGAUGGAUGAGCCCGCGUUGGAUUAGCUAGUUGGUGGGGUAAUGGCCUACCAAGGCGACGAUCCAUAGCUGGUCUGAGAGGAUGAUCAGCCACACUGGGACUGAGACACGGCCCACACUCCUACGGGAGGCAGCAGUGGGGAAUAUUGGACAAUGGGCGCAAGCCUGAUCCAGCCAUGCCGCGUGAGUGAUGAAGGCCCUAGGGUUGUAAAGCUCUUUCAACGGUGAAGAUAAUGACGGUAACCGUAAAAAAAGCCCCGGCUAACUUCGUGCCAGCCCCCCGGGGAAUAAUAAA